rnacentral:rRNA from 1 species
UGGGGAAUAUUGCACAAUGGGCGAAAGCAUGAUGCAGCGACGCCGCGUGAGGGAUGACGGCCUUCGGGUUGUAACCCUCUUUCAGCAGGGACGAAGCGCAAGUGACGGUACCUGCAGAAGAAGCACCGGCUAACUACGUGCCAGCAGCCGCGGUAAUACGUAGGGUGCAAGCGUUGUCCGGAAUUACUGGGCGUAAAGAGUUCUUAGGCGGUUUGUCGCGUCGUCUGUGAAAACCAGCAGCUCGACUGCUGGCUUGCAGUCGAUACGGGCAGACUUGAGUACUGCAGGGGAGACUGGAAUUCCUGGUGUAGCGGUGAAAUGCGCAGAUAUCAGGAGGAACACCGGUGGCGAAGGCGGGUCUCUGGGCAGUAACAGACGCUGAGGAACGAAAGCGUGGGUAGCGAACAGG